rnacentral:rRNA from 1 species
UAGUUGACUCCAAUUGAACCGCACGCUUCACCCCUUUGUGGUGCUCCCCCGCCAAUUCCUUUAAGUUUCANUACUUGCGUACGUACUUCCCAGGCGGCAGACUUAACGGCUUCCCUGCGGCACUGCAUUGGCCACAAGCCAAUGCAUCACUGAGUCUGCAUCGUUUACAGCUGGGACUACCCGGGUAUCUAAUCCGGUUUGCUCCCCCAGCUUUCAUCCCUCACCGUCGAACGUGUUCUGGUACACCGCCUUCGCCACAGGUGGUCUUCAAUAGAUCAAAGGAUUUUACCCCUUCCUAUCGAGUACCGUGUACCUCUCCCACUCCCUAGCUGCACAGUAUUUUCGGCGGCCUAUACGUUAAGCGCAUAGAUUUAACCGAAAACUUAUGCAACCGGCUACGGAUGCUUUAGGCCCAAUAAACCUCCUGACCACUCGAGGUGCUGGUUUUACCGCGGCGGCUGACACCAGAACUUGCCCACCCCUUAUUCACCAGUGAUUCUACAACUGACAAAAGACUCCUUUAGCAGGAGACACUCGGAUUAACCUUGUCGUGCUUUCGCACAUUGCAAAGGUUUCUCGCCUGCUGCGCCCCAUAGGGCCUGGGUCCGUGUCUCAGUACCCAUCUCCGGGCCCCUCCUCUCAGAGCCGGUA